CUCCCGCUGCCCGCGCUUGAAGGAGCUCUUCCUGAAGCGGGUCGUCCUCGUGAGGAGGCGAGACCUGCCUACUGUCCUCUCCAUACGCUUCGACUCGCUAGAGCGGCUCGAGAUGGACGACAUGCUGGACGUGAAAUCCGACGCCAGUCUCCAGGUUAUCGCCCCGAAGCUGAAGGUGUUUUCGUCGUCCCCGAGGAUCUUUAGCGACGCCGACAUCGUCGCGCCCAAGCUCUUGGAGGUGUGCUAGCAUGGCCCGUACGACCCGCCCCGGCAUCGUCUCCGAGAGGCCGGACGCCAUCUGCAGCGCCUGGAGAUUGCCGGGAACUGCUGGAACUCUCAGCAGGUGGCGACGCUGAUGCUCCGGUUUAACGCCGUCCACGAGUUGAACCUGACAGUCCAAUUAUGGAAGCACCAAUACGUUACGUCGGGGGCGAGCAUGUACAAAGUGCACAAGGUAAGCAAAAGCCAUCAUCGACCAUCCGCCGAUCUAGAGAAUCAAUUUUUCCUUUACAAAGAUGGAGAAGUGAUUCGCUAGAUUGAAUCGGAAGAAACGAGUAGACGGUAUCGAAAUGAGAGGAAACAUGAGAGAACUUUUCGAUAUAAUUUUAUUUUUUUAUAUCAUUUUGUGUCAAGUUAUCUUUUUUUACCACUAAUUAUUUUCUUUGAUACGAAUUACCUUUCUGGUAUUUUUCUAAAAAAAAAUCAGAGAGGAAAUGAAUAGAUCGUACCAA